UCUCUCUCUCUCUCUCUCUCUAUUUAUAAGACAUCAAAUACUACAUAUAAUAACAAAGAUAAUAAAAAUAUGCUGGAGGAGUUGAAGGUGUCAGUGAGUUAUGGAGAUGACACUCGUGUGCUUGUGGGGAAGAAAUAAGUAGACAGGAAAGGUAAGAGAACUCCAUUGAUUGCUUUCUUUUGUGUUCCUUCUCCUCACAUCUCUCUCUCUCUCUCUCUCUGCAUCUCUUCCUCUUUGCCUCUCUUAUCUAUUAUUUUAAUUUCUUUCUUUGGAGUUUGCACAGAUGAGCACGGCACCCUCCUCAGUCCUCCAUUGUCUUUAUUAUUCCUCACCUUUUCUUUUUAGGCUGAUUAAUUAUGAAGAAAACAGUGGCAGUACACAAUUGGCUGCAGUGAGCUAUUGACAGAUAAAAAGAGGAGAAUAUUAUCAUUUUAAAUGUCUAUGUGGACUGCUGCACUAAUGAGAGAGAGAGAGAGAGAGAGAGAGAUGAGCAGUGAGUCCAAUUCAUUGUAUCUUUCAUACAAUAGACAGAGAGGACACCAAGUCUUCCAGAAUCUAAGAAGCAGCUUUGUACUUUUUAGGUUUUGGCAAGGAAACUUCACCAACAUUUUGCAGCUUCAUGACCAUAAAUUUACUAUUUUCAUUCUAAUGAUUUUUUUUUUUCUGUCCAGAACAUAAUAUUCAUGUGAUCAAUCCCAAGUUAUUUGCCAAACUGUUCACAGGGGUGAAGAGAAAUCAAAGACAGAACCUAAUAACAGCCAUUGAUGAUGUGAAUUGAUCAAUAACAUCAGCUCCUUCUCUCUUCUCCUAUGUGAGCAUUUCAUAAUUUAUUUAUUCUCUGAACAGUAAAAGCAAGGCGAGUGAUGAUGAGCAAAGGUUGCAUUGCAUGUCUUCUGAGUCUCCUGGAAGGACCUCAUUCUGUGUCUUCCUUCAUGUGGAGCAGCUUCCAGGUCUUCCUCAGUCUACACACUUUGGCUUUGCAAUAAAUAUAGACUGCAGUCAUCUAUCUUUGCCUUUGGAAGAUUAGCCUUUAAUGAGUAGUAGUGUGGAACCUGACAAUUGGCAUCAGAAAGGUAGAUUUCAGCAAGGGAAAGGAUGAAUGAUGAUGCUGUUGUCUUCUGGUGUGAGUGAAGAA
rnacentral:lncRNA from 1 species